AAUCAAACACACCUAAUUUCAUUUCAAUUCUAAUUGGAAACACUCAAUUCUUCCCAGCAGCUGACGGCAACGGUGAUGGAGGAGCAAUUAUAGAUCCAUCUUAGAGGGCCGAAGGCAGUGGGAAUAAUAACGGUGCGUUGGGGUGAAGAAACCGUCAGCUAAGGACCACCAUAGCAAGGUUGACACAAAGAUCGUCGUAUUUGCAUGCCUAUUAUCUGCGCCCCUAGGCAUGGAGUGAAUUCGAGAGCUGCGUUUGGUCUUCAACUUCAACUUUCCCUAGCCCACCGCCACCCACUGCCGCUCUAAAAUCAAUCCAUCUACCUAUGUUUAUUUUGUGUAUUUGCUUUCCAAUCACAAUCCAUUUAGCAUUUUUAUCUUUUUGUUUGGCCGAAUAGCUUUAUUUGUGUAUUAGUGUUAAAUUUUUAAAUUUGAUUUGGGAUGAUUUUUUGGUUCUUUACGUGGAAUUUUUGUUUAUUUACUUUUUCAUAUUGGGGAUAAUAUGUGGGUUUUUAAUGAAGAGAAAGAGUAUGUUAUAUC
rnacentral:lncRNA from 1 species